AAAGAUUAAGCCAUGCAUGUCUAUGCACACGCCCUUGAAUGGUGAAGCCGCGAAAAGCUCAUUACAACAGCCAUAGUUUAUUGGAUGUGUACGUUCCUACAAGGACACCUGCGGUAAUUCUGGAGCUAAUACUUGCAAUAAACGACGACCUUACGGAAGUCGUGCAUUUGUUAGACUAAACCAAUCGGUUCUUCGGAACCGCCAUUUGGUGAACUCUGAAUAACUUAGCUGAUCGCACAGUCUCGUACUGGCGACGAAUCUUUCAAGUGUCUGCCUUAUCAACUUUCGAUGGUAGUUUACACGACUACCAUGGUUGUAACGGGUAACGGAGAAUAAGGGUUCGACUCCGGAGAGGGAGCCUGAGAAACGGCUACCACAUCCAAGGAAGGCAGCAGGCGCGCAAAUUACACAAUCUCAGCACGAGGAGGUAGUGACGAAAAAUAACGAGGUGGCUCUCUACGAGGUCCAUCAUCGGAAUGGGUACAAUUUAAAUCCUUUAACGAGGAUCUAUUGGAGGGCAAGUCUGGUGCCAGCAGCCGCGGUAAUUCCAGCUCCAAUAGCGUAUACUAAAGUUGUUGCGGUUAAAAAGCUCGUAGUUGGAUCUGCGCUCGGUGAAAGCGGUCCCCCGAUGGGUUGUUACUGCUUCUCCCGGGCUAACCAUUCGGUUUUCCCUUGAUGCUCUUCAUUGAGUGUCCUGGGUGACCGGAACGUUUACUUUGAGAAAAUUAGAGUGCUCAAAGCAGGCGAUUUGCCCGAAUAUUCGUGCAUGGAAUAAUAAAAGAGGUCCUUGUAGCCUUUUAUUGGUUAUCGCUACGAGGAAAUGAUCGAAGGGGACAGACGGGGGCAUUUGUAUUGCGACGUUAGAGGUGAAAUUCUUGGAUCGUCGCAAGACAAACUACUGCGAAAGCAUUUGCCAAGAAUGUUUUCAUCAAUCAAGAACGAAAGUCUGAGGUUCGACAGCGAUCAGAUACCGCUUUAGUUCAGACCGUAAACGAUGCCAUCUGGCGAUCCACCGGCGUUAUGUAUGACUCGGUGGGCAGCCACCGGUAAACCUUUAAGUCAGGUUCCGGGGGAAGUAUGGUUGCAAAGCUGAAACUUAAAGGAAUUGACGGAAGGGCACCACCAGGAGUGGAGCCUGCGGCUUAAUUUGACU
rnacentral:rRNA from 1 species